rnacentral:tRNA from 1 species
UAAAUGUGGCGCCGGUAUGAACGGGUAGUUUUGAUGGGGCUAAAUAUGGAGAUAAAUAUGCUUCAACAUUUAU